AGAGCUCACGAGCUAAUGCUAAGCUAACUUUAGCUUAUCAGGAAACGUGCUACAGCCACGCUCAUGGCAUGCCAUCCAGUUUGUAUGUAUUGAGUCCAGUAGUCAACUCAUCCAAGAUUUAUAAUCAACAAGUCGUCUAUUAGCUCACUAUCUGUCACCGACGCAUGAUUUGAAGAAUACCAGAUGAACAAAAGCAUCACAAAUGAACCAGAACAGCCUUCAAUCUCACAAUUUCUGGACAUCCAUGUAGGGCAGUAUAGCAUGAGUCAUCCACAGCAGAAAGCUAUCACCAAUUCAAUAUUGUCUGACUUGAUUAUUGGUUGCAACUUGCCCCUGUCUAUUGUGGAAAAUAAGAGUUUUCGGCACUUUCUGACAGUAGUGGACAGUAAGUACAG